UCAUGCCAUUGACUGUAGAUAUUUAGUCGGAGCUCAGCGAUUCUUCGGAACGGAACCUAAAUUCUCUCAAAAAUAAAGUCUUGCGAAUAAGUAGAGAUAGAAUCUGAAUCGAUUGCGUCUUCCGAAUGGUCGGCGUUAGAGCCCACUGUCACGACUGAGUCUUCCGAAAGAGUCUUCGCAUGGUCAGUAUAGAACCCAGUGUCACGAUUUAGACCUCCGAAAGGUGUGUAAAAACAUUUAAAUCAUCAUCAACUGAAGCCUCGACUGCGUCUUCCGAAUGGUCGGCGUUAGAACCCACUGUCACGGCUGAGUCUUCCGAGUGUGUCUUUGCAUGGUCGGUUAGAGGAAGAAUACGAAUUAUCAUCUUUUUCAUCGCUUCAACAAGCGAAUGGAUAACAUUAUUGUCGUUAAAAUUGCGACUCUGGUUCUGGGAGCACAAUGGUCUCGUAGACGGUGGUAGUAUGACCCCACUCCCAAAAAGGAUCGUAUGACUGCAAGCGUGAAGGAUACCAUUGUAUAACCGAUUUCUUUCUCGCAGGUUGCAACCGAAGCCAGGCCUGUGAGGUUGAGCACUAGUGCUGCCUUCGGAAUCCGAAUCCGGGGAACUGCUUAUCAUUCUGUUUGCAAUUUCCAGGAAUAUCCGCCUUUCCCUUCUUUGCUAUGAUUUCUAUACAAGAGGGAUGGAUGCUGCUGGAUAUGACGAACAGAACGAUGGCUAUAUCAUGGAACCCGCCUUCAAUGUCUCCCGAGGCGGAUCCAGUGCUCAACAGCAGAGUCUUUGUUUCAGUUGCAGCCUUGGAGAGAGGAGACAGUUCCACAACGUUGUCGUUCACAUUGAUUAUUGUACGAUCUUUAUAAAUUUGUAAU